rnacentral:rRNA from 1 species
GAUGAACGCUGGCGGCGUGCCUAAUACAUGCAAGUCGAGCGAACGGACGAGAAGCUUGCUUCUCUGAUGUUAGCGGCGGACGGGUGAGUAACACGUGGAUAACCUACCUAUAAGACUGGGAUAACUUCGGGAAACCGGAGCUAAUACCGGAUAAUAUUUUGAACCGCAUGGUUCAAAAGUGAAAGACGGUCUUGCUGUCACUUAUAGAUGGAUCCGCGCUGCAUUAGCUAGUUGGUAAGGUAACGGCCUACCAAGGCAACGAUGCAUAGCCGACCCGAGAGGGUGAUCGGCCACACUGGAACUGAGACACGGUCCAGACUCCUACGGGAGGCAGCAGUAGGGAAUCUUCCGCAAUGGGCGAAAGCCUGACGGAGCAACGCCGCGUGAGUGAUGAAGGUCUUCGGAUCGUAAAACUCUGUUAUUAGGGAAGAACAUAUGUGUAAGUAACUGUGCACAUCUUGACGGUACCUAAUCAGAAAGCCACGGCUAACUACGUG